rnacentral:rRNA from 1 species
UACGUAGGGUGCGAGCGUUGUCCGGAAUUAUUGGGCGUAAAGAGCUCGUAGGCGGUUUGUCGCGUCUGCUGUGAAAACCUGAGGCUCAACCUCGCGCCUGCAGUGGGUACGGGCAGACUAGAGUGCGGUAGGGGAGAUUGGAAUUCCUGGUGUAGCGGUGGAAUGCGCAGAUAUCAGGAGGAACACCGAUGGCGAAGGCAGAUCUCUGGGCCGUUACUGACGCUGAGGAGCGAAAGCGUGGGGAGCGAACAGG